UACAGAGGUCUCGAGCGUUUAGGCGGAAUCACUGGGCUUAAAGCGUGUGUAGGUGGAUCGUUAAGUACCUUGUGAAAUCCCCGGGCUCAACCUGGGAACUGCAUCUGUGACUGCAUCGCUGGAGUGCGGCAGAGGGGGAUGGAAUUCCGCGUGUAGCAGUGAAAUGCGUAGAUAUGCGGAGGAACACCGAUGGCGAAGGCAAUCCCCUGGGCCUGCACUGACGCUCAUGCACGAAAGCGUGGGGAGCAAACAGGA
rnacentral:rRNA from 1 species